UACGGGGGGAGCAAGCGUUGUUCGGAUUUACUGGGCGUAAAGGGCGCGUAGGCGGCCAGCACAAGUCAGUUGUGAAAUCUCCGAGCUUAACUCGGAACGGUCAACUGAUACUGUGCGGCUAGAGUGCAGAAGGGGCAACUGGAAUUCUUGGUGUAGCGGUGAAAUGCGUAGAUAUCAAGAGGAACACCUGCGGCGAAGGCGGGUUGCUGGGCUGACACUGACACUGAGGCGCGAAAGCUAGGGGAGCGAACGGG
rnacentral:rRNA from 1 species